rnacentral:rRNA from 1 species
CAGUCGCCGCGGUAAUACGAAGGGUGCAAGCGUUAAUCGGAAUUACUGGGCGUAAAGCGUGCGUAGGCGGUGAGUUAAGUCUGCUGUGAAAUCCCCGGGCUCAACCUGGGAAUGGCAGUGGAUACUGGCUCGCUAGAGUGUGUCAGAGGAUGGUGGAAUUCCCGGUGUAGCGGUGAAAUGCGUAGAGAUCGGGAGGAACAUCAGUGGCGAAGGCGGCCAUCUGGGACAACACUGACGCUCAGGUGCGAAAGCGUGGGGAGCAAACAGGAUUAGAUACCCGUGUAGUCCCUGUCUCUUAUAA